CCCGUGCGCAGGGUCUCCGCAAUUUUUUAUGUUCGCGCGCGCUCGGCGAGUGGCGGGCGUGGAGGUCGCCUUCGCCGCCGACAUCACAGCGGCUUUCCGGCUGUGCUCUGCUCCACCACCCAACCACCCUUUCGACGUACUCCAGGAGGAUUCAACCGGCUGUUACCGGAGCCCGCGCCGUGCUGCGCCCGUGCGACGACAACGCGACAAGGGAAAAGAAGGUCAUAAUCCCGAGCUUUCUGGGAACUUCGUCCGGGAUAUUUGUGUUAUUUCCAAGAAACUCCAAUAGCCAGAGAACAACCCAUGUGUAGAAAAAUAAUAUGAUACUUCCGAGCCACAGGUCACGUGAUAAUGGCUCAACGAAAAUCCAUGUGUUGUUAGUUCUGCUGCUCUUGGCUGGAACAACCAUUGCCACUCCUGAUUCUGUGUACGGUAGAGCGAAGUCGACAUAAGACAUUCUGUUCUCUGAGAUUGUUAUGUCUCCAAUUGCUAUAUCGUAUUUCUGCAAGUGCAUCAAACAGAGUUACUUUACUGACCAGCAAAAUGAUGAUGCUUAAUCUUUGUUAUGAAAGCUGUAACUAUGCCAUGAGGAUAUGAAUAGGUUAACUGAGAAGAGCCUAACUAUGCCAUGUGUUCUUAUCAUGUAAAGAUGACGUGUAUAUUCCUUUGAUAUUGUAUUUUACCUUAUGAGUUGCAAGCAACAGAUGGCAUGUUACAAUUUUUUGCUACAAUAGCAUAGUACUUACAAGAAUGGUUACCAGACCAAUAGGGAAGCAUGAUAUGGUGGUUAUACACACUAUACAAUGGAGAAAUAUGGCCCCAAUUAGAAUUCAAUUUGGGUAUUUAUCCUCGUCGUAUCCUUUAUAUGGAAAUCCAGGGCCAGGGGAUCAUUCCCUUGACUCUUACUGAUGAUAUUUUACUCCAUCAGAAAUUGAACAAAAAGCUGCCAAAUUGGCCUAUUUCUUGCGCGUAGCUACCAAUUGAAGUAUUUUGAGGAUUUUUUUAAACUGAAUUGGAUGGAGAAAAUAAGAACUGGAAGAAGAAAAGUUUUCUCAACAGGGGGAGGAAGUCCCUUCGAAAUUGGAUUUGUUGCUGUAAGGGGAUUUUCAAGUAUUAUCUAAAGGAAGGAACAAACGAGGAUAAGAGAAAAUUCCUUUUAAUUUACUUUAUCCAGAUGCCGACAGAGGGAUCACACUCCGAUAGGGAACGCGAGCAUCAAUUUCUUGGAGGGCGUCGAUGAGAUAUGGUGAGAUAAUCAUAGGGAUAUUUCCUUGAUCCAUCUGGAGGAUUUUUUCAAGAACUUUUACCUGCUGAUGCAGCUUCUACGCUGUUACUUUUGGAGUCCCUGAUGUGGAGAACUACCUUCGGGCUGUAGUUUCUGUGGACCGUAUAGAAGUCUUCCAGAGCCAUCAAAAGGCUGGUCCGCGCCAUCUUGCCCCGCAAUGAUUCCAAGUUGAGGAUCACUCCAACGGGGAACUCAUCUGCUCCACUCGUGGUAGCAUUUUGAGCUAUGCCGGAGUGGAUGAUGAGUAACAGGAAGAAGGUGAUUUGAGAUGCUCUCUCCAUUGACGGUGCUGCAAGGUUUGUGAAGUAUUUUGUGCCCAGAAUCCAAGCCUACUGUGGCUUUUAUAAAGUUGGUUUCUUCAAGCUAAAAGCUUAGCAUGAUGGCGUAGUUGUAGUUUCCGAAGGUCAAAUGACGUAGCACGGCCGGCCAAGAAUUUAAAUACUAAUAGGUAGCUUAGGACAUGCUGCAGUGAUGAGUUCUAUAAUAGUGGAGCACUCCUUCUCUGCAUGUUACCCAGGUACUUAAAUACUAACUGACCAGUAGCUCCUUCCAUUCAAUCUUGCAAUAUAUCACUUGAAAGUGACAGGAGCUGUUAUCUAAUUGUUUUCAAACGUUUGCUCUGUUUCCUGAAGCAACUGAAUUCUGUUGACACGAUUUUUGCUGUUUAUAUAAAUUCCAAUUGCCCCCUUUUAAUA